rnacentral:lncRNA from 1 species
UAAGUAAAUUGAAUUCACAACUUAUGAAUCACAACUGGAUGUAAUCAAAUCAUAUUACAAGUAUGAACAUAGUUUCGAAUCACCCCCUAACUAAGAGGGGUUUAGUUCCUCACACUCACAAAGCAAAGAUACAUAAAAUUAGACAUUAAAAUCAAAGGAAAGAAAACACCUAAAAUGCUUCAACUUGGUAGCAAGUGCAUCCAAGAUUCCUCCUUUCCCUAUGCUUGCGGCAGAUUGGGUUAUGGACAGAUUUUGGGUAGUUUUAUGAUGUAGAAUGGAUGGGGAAUGGUAUGGAAGGGUUUAGGGUGAGUGUGGUGUUGGAAAUGUGCCCUAAAGCCAAUCAUGUGAUGAUACUUUACGGACAUUUCACAUGUUAAACUAAUCUAGU